UGGGGAAUAUUGCACAAUGGGCGAAAGCCUGAUGCAGCAACGCCGCGUGAGUGAUGAAGGCCUUCGGGUUGUAAAGCUCUGUCUUUUGGGACGAUAAUGACGGUACCAAAGGAGGAAGCCACGGCUAACUACGUGCCAGCAGCCGCGGUAAUACGUAGGUGGCAAGCGUUGUCCGGAUUUACUGGGCGUAAAGGAUGCGUAGGCGGAUUUUUAAGUGAGAUGUGAAAUACCCGGGCUUAACUUGGGUGCUGCAUUUCAAACUGGGAAUCUAGAGUGCGGGAGGGGAGAAUGGAAUUCCUAGUGUAGCGGUGAAAUGCGUAGAGAUUAGGAAGAACACCAGUGGCGAAGGCGAUUCUCUGGACCGUAACUGACGCUGAGGCAUGAAAGCGUGGGUAGCAAACAGGAUUAGAUACCCUGGUAGUCCACGCCGUAAACGAUGAGUACUAGGUGUAGGAGGUAUCGACCCCUUCUGUGCCGCAGUUAACACAAUAAGUACUCCGCCUGGGAAGUACGAUCGCAAGAUU
rnacentral:rRNA from 1 species